rnacentral:rRNA from 1 species
CGAAAACUUUACACCGCUGGAAACCGUGAUAAGGGGACACCGAGUGCCAGCAUCAUAUGCUGACUGUCCAGGUGUGUAAACUACACCUGUUAGCAAGGGCCGGGCAAGACCGGUGCCAGCCGCCGCGGUAACACCGGCGGCCCGAGUGGUGAUCGUGAUUAUUGGGUCUAAAGGGUCCGUAGCCGGUUUGGUCAGUCCUCCGGGAAAUCUGACGGCUCAACCGUUAGGCUUUCGGGGGAUACUGCCAGGCUUGGAACCGGGAGAGGUAAGAGGUACUACAGGGGUAGGAGUGAAAUCUUGUAAUCCCUGUGGGACCACCUGUGGCGAAGGCGUCUUACCAGAACGGGUUCGACGGUGAGGGACGAAAGCUGGGGGCACGAACCGGAUUAGAUACCCGGGUAGUCCCAGCCGUAAACGAUGCUCGCUAGGUGUCAGGCAUGGCGCGACCGUGUCUGGUGCCGCAGGGAAGCCGUGAAGCGAGCCACCUGGGAAGUACGGCCGCAAGGCUGAAACUUAAAGGAAUUGGCGGGGGAGCAC